AGCUUAUCAUUUUAUAAAUACGUUUAAUUAAGCAAAUAGUAUUCUUAUAACCCAUCCAAAGUAUAAGAAUACAGGUGUACAUUGUAACAUUGUUUUACAGGUUAUAUUCUUCCUUCUUUGGUACAAAACACAAAACCAAUCAAAACAUAUCAUAUUCCAUCCAAUUAUUCAUCUUAUACAUCACAGGUACAUACAUACAUAUACAUAAUAUAUGUAUAUUUAUAUGUGAUGCUGACACAUUUAUUUAAAUAGUAGGUAUAUCGUCCCGUCAAAAUCACUUUACUAUUUUUAGAAAUAAACUUUUUUUAUUUAAUUUUAAUUUCGUCUACUUCAGAUUAUAUGAAAUUUUUUAUUUGAAUUUUUCAUGUUGCCCCAAUUAAAGUAUUAGUUCAUUUUUUAUCUUUUAAAUAUUUUAUAUUUACGAUAAAAUGUAAACUAAACAGUUUCAAUAAAUAAUUACUAUAUUAUUAAAAUAUUUAUAUUGAUAAGAUUUAUGAUUAAAACUGUACUUUAAGAUAUUUAUUUAUUAUUUCUUAAAUAUUUAAUCAACAUGUGUAAAACAUUUAAAAUUUAAGAUUAAUCAAACAUUAUGAUUGUGUAUCAAUUAUAAUUUCAAAAAAUUAAUUAUAACAUAAUCAUAGUUUUAUAAUUUAUUGGAUUAGUUAUUUUUAAUCUCUUAAAUAUGAUGUAGGUAAUAGUUAUAUUAUAUAUAAUUUUUUUAAAUGGAAUAUAUAGUACAUAUUUUUGUAUAAAAUGAUCACGCAUGUUCAGUAAAUGUAAAUAAAAAAUUUAGUAAAUGUAGGAAUUAGAGAUGUAACAAGUAGUGGUGAUAAUGAUGAUUAUGCAUCUACCCAUCUCCUUGAGGAUAUAUUACUUAAAGCAUUUGAUGUUCCAAUACAAGACAUCAUUUUUAAACACUUACUCGUCCUACUCUAACAACAUCAACAAUAUAUAAUUUUUAUUUGAAAGAACGAGCAAUAAAUGUUCCUACUCAUAUAUUGUACAACAUAAAAAUUUUAACAUUAAUAAAAAAUUAAAUUUUAAAUCUACAUAAUACUUUAAAAUAAUAUUUUAUUAUCAAAAAAUAAUAUUUCUCGCACGGGAGCCAAACUACAUAUGUAUAUAUUUUAGUACUGUAUAUAUUUCAGUAGAAAUUUUGUAUAAGUUAUUGAGGUGGUCACUUGUACACCCGGGUGGUAUGUACACCGGGAUGUAAAUGACACUAACACUAACAUUAUUUGUUUUACAAAUGGCACUAUCAUGUUAUAUAAAUAACAUUAUCUCGAAAUGACACUAACACUAUAUUGAAAUGACACUAUCAUAUUAUCGAAAUGAUACUAAUACUCUGGGUGUACCGUACACCCGGGUGUACAAGAGAUUUUGUGUUAGUUAUUUUAAUACAAUGUGUAUAUAUUAUAUCAUCUUUAAUUUUGUCAUAUAUUUUUUAAUUUGAACGAAAUUAUUCAGGGCAAAUUUUGAAAUGGGCUAAAGGUUAUGUAUUUAUAUUACAACUAUAUAUAGUUGAAAAAAUACCAAAAUUCACUAAUUACAUUGUGGAUUUACAAUCAAUUAAUGCCUAAAAAAAGCAUGUCGUUAAAUGCAAAUUAGUAAAAAGUAAUUAAAAAUUCCAAAAACUCUUUCAAGACUAAUAGAAAAUUUGAAAGAAAAAUAUCUAUAAAUGUUGAUGAAAAUUUUAAAUAAAUAAUAAUAAUCAUUAGAUAAAAAGUUUUUGUCAAAAUCCUCAUCAUUCAUUUGAUUAGCCUCCAACUAUAAGAUGGUUUCAUCUUCAUUUAAUGUUAUUAUCGUUAUUAGAGCUAUUUUAUAAAAUAAUACAAUAGAAUUUUAUAAUCUAAACAUAAUAUUUUAAAAAAUAUUUUUUUUACUAUUUUAAUUAAGUAGGUAUCACCGUGCAUCGCACGGGAGUAAUACUAGUGUAUAUUUAUAUGUGAUGAUGACACAUUUAUUUAAAAAAUAGGAAUAUCGAAACUCUCUUAAGCAGUGGACGUGAAGUUGAAGUUAGCACACGUAGUUUGGCGGCCCAAAAGCGUGUUACUAAAUCCCAACCUCGACGCCGCCAAAUCGAACUGCAACAGAUUGUCUUCGAUCUGAUGCCCACCGAUCACCACGGCGGUUCUCGGAUUCGCUCCGCCGUUCACGACCGCCAGGCACAAAACGUCGUCGUUUACCGAAACCAUUGAGUUGGAUCCCGUCCACGUCCACACCGCGUUCUGCCCCUGCAGCACGAGGUCGAUGUUCG
rnacentral:lncRNA from 1 species